rnacentral:rRNA from 1 species
CAGCAGCCGCGGUAAUACGAAGGGGGCUAGCGUUGUUCGGAUUUACUGGGCGUAAAGGGCGCGUAGGCGGACUGAUAAGUCAGGGGUGAAAUCCCAAGGCUCAACCUUGGAACUGCCUUUGAUACUGGGUAUCUUGAGUAUGGAAGAGGUGAGUGGAAUUCCGAGUGUAGAGGUGAAAUUCGUAGAUAUUCGGAGGAACACCAGUGGCGAAGGCGACUCACUGGUCCAUUACUGACGCUGAGGUGCGAAAGCGUGGGGAGCAAACAGGAUUAGAUACCCCCGUAGUCCCUGUCUCUUAUAC